rnacentral:rRNA from 1 species
UGGGGAAUAUUGGACAAUGGGCGCAAGCCUGAUCCAGCCAUGCCGCGUGAGUGAUGAAGGCCUUCGGGUUGUAAAGCUCUUUCACCCACGACGAUGAUGACGGUAGUGGGAGAAGAAGCCCCGGCUAACUUCGUGCCAGCAGCCGCGGUAAUACGAAGGGGGCAAGCGUUGUUCGGAAUGACUGGGCGUAAAGGGCGCGUAGGCGGUUCGUUGCGUCAGAUGUGAAAGCCCCGGGCUCAACCUGGGAACUGCAUUUGAUACGGGCGAGCUUGAAUCCAAGAGAGGGUGGUGGAAUUCCCAGUGUAGAGGUGAAAUUCGUAGAUAUUGGGAAGAACACCAGUGGCGAAGGCGGCCACCUGGCUUGGUAUUGACGCUGAGGCGCGAAAGCGUGGGGAGCAAACAGGAUUAGAUACCCCCGUAGUCC